rnacentral:rRNA from 1 species
ACACCAUAGACUGUGAGUUGCGAACGGGUGAGUAACGCGUAGGUAACCUGCCUGGUAGCGGGGGAUAACUAUUGGAAACGAUAGCUAAUACCGCAUAAUAUUAAUUAUUGCAUGAUAAUUGAUUGAAAGAUGCAACUGCAUCACUACCAGAUGGACCUGCGUUGUAUUAGCUAGUAGGUGAGGUAACGGCUCACCUAGGCGACGAUACAUAGCCGACCUGAGAGGGUGAUCGGCCACACUGGGACUGAGACACGGCCCAGACUCCUACGGGAGGCAGCAGUAGGGAAUCUUCGGCAAUGGACGAAAGUCUGACCGAGCAACGCCGCGUGAGUGAAGAAGGUUUUCGGAUCGUAAAGCUCUGUUGUAAGAGAAGAACGGGUGUGAGAGUGGAAAGUUCACACUGUGACGGUAUCUUACCAGAAAGGGACGGCUAACUACGUGCCAGCAGCCGCGGUAAUACGUAGGUCCCGAGCGUUGUCCGGAUUUAUUGGGCGUAAAGCGAGCGCAGGCGGUUAGAUAAGUCUGAAGUUAAAGGCUGUGGCUUAACCAUAGUACGCUUUGGAAACUGUUUAACUUGAGUGCAGAAGGGGAGAGUGGAAUUCCAUGUGUAGCGGUGAAAUGCGUAGAUAUAUGGAGGAACACCGGUGGCGAAAGCGGCUCUCUGGUCUGUAACUGACGCUGAGGCUCGAAAGCGUG